GCUUUAAUUAGGUGGAAAUGUCAGACAGAUCUCAACUCAUUAAAGGAGGAAAUCGCCACCGCCUGACCUCGCUGCUUUCUCUCUCAAACUCCAUCUAAUCCAGACAUUGUGUGCGUACACAAAUCAACGGAAUCUUCUAGCUUGGAUGGAGGAGGGAACAAAGGGGAAGUGUACAGAAGUUAUCCAGCCUGAUGACUAAGAAAUGUUGAUGACAGGCCCAGUUCAGCUGCAGUGGAAGAGAGAGUCAACGAGAACCAGGAAACCAGCCCAACUUUUGAUUAUUUCAAGUCAGAUGACCUAAACACGUUUUUUUGUUUUGUCGUGGAAAAUGACAUACUAGUCAUGCUAUCCCAUGUUUUACUGUUUAAAGAGUUGUCUCUUGUUAUAUGCUCGUGUUUUUUCUAACCUGAUACAAACUUGUCUUUGUGGGACUGAGUCAUAAGACUGGGCGUGUAGCCAACGGUCCGUUUGGAUGUGACCGCAGCAUGUGACGUCCCUUUGGGUUUACUAUCUACAGGAAGUCACAUGUACGGAAACUUGCAGAAAGGAGCACAUUAUAGUGUUUGCUGUUGUGAAUGCAUUAAAUCUGCACAGACAACUAAUUGCCUUUUACACACUAUGUGCUGACUGCCACAUAUCCACAAAGGAUGUGAACCGACACU